rnacentral:lncRNA from 10 species
UGUAGAGCAAGUAACACUGAACUUUGAGGUUUAGGCAGCUUUAAAUUAAAAAACAAAAUCAAAUUGUAUUGUUGUCUCUGUACUUCAGUCAGAACAUUAAACUGCUGUUGUUACAUUUUAUGUCAAAAUGCGAGUAGCUGUUAAAAUGGUUAUUCAGAUAUAUGCAACUGAAAGCCGUGAGUGUUGAGGUUUUUCAUGAGAAGAAUUUAACCACUUGUACAAUGCAGCUUAUUGCAGUUCUCUCGGGGGCUGGUCUGGUGGCUAAUGCACUAGUUUGUUGGCCACUUUGAUCCUGGCUGCCCUGUUUUAAGUCUUGCUAUGACUGGUUAAGCUAGUGCUCUGUAACCCCGGGGAUAACUUGAGGGUUCUGAAAGUCAUGAGGCACGGUCCCCAAGAUCAAAAUAUAAAAAUAGGUCUGGGGUCAGGGAACUCAACAGGCCCUGGAAGCUCUUCACUUUUACAGCUGGAGAUGGUCUCUUAUGUAUUUAGAAUUCGUCAUUAGGAUUCUGACAAAGAACUGCAGUAUGGGAUUGCUGCAGGGCAGGCUGUUUGAAUCUUACUCUUGAUAACAAAAAAAACCCCAACUUCUGGCUGCUGACAGGAGACAAGAGAGAUAGCUCCCUCCACUUCAGUCUAUAAUACAAACGAAGAUCAGCCAUUUGUUGCAUCCGAGGUAAACUGGCCUGGAUUUGUGGUCUGAGUUCACCAUAUUUCCACAGUAUGACAUUGAAGAAGAAAGGAAUUUUACUUGUCACUUGAUAGUUAUUGUCUCAUGACACUAAGCUAUGACUUGGAGACAAAGGCCAAGUCAAGCCCCACUGUGAGAUUCAAUGAUUCCUUGGUGGAGAAAGAAGCAUUUGAUGUGGAGCCUGACACACCUGGGCACAGAAACGCUCUUCAGACCAUACUCCUACUGCCAGGGGAUGGAGAAGGCAUGGUGUCAGCAAUUCAAGACUGUUUUUCCUACCUCUUCAGUGUCUCUUUCGGCAAAAUGAAGUGAAAAUCAGGAACAAGAUGUCUCCAGAGUUAAAUACAUGAAUUAAAUGCAAUUUCAAUGGAUGUCCCAAUGUUUUAAAUUGAAUAACAUGACUUUAAAGAAGAUAUGGGAAACUUCAACUCCCAGAAAAAUGAAGUAGAUACAUACUUCUCUAUUCCUUCCACUAAGUACAACUGAAAACCGUGACACUAUAUAUAAAACAAACAUAAGAAGACUCUGAAAGGCAAGAAUGGGUUUUCUUUUGCCUCCUUUAUUCCAGACUUGUAACUGAAGAAGCCAUCAACCAAGAAAUUUCCAACAGACCCAGAUGGAAAAAGUCCCAGUGAAAGCCUGUUCUUUAGCCAAAGGGGCCAGAAAAGAGCAAGAUAGCAGGACAAGAUCUCUGCCAUCAUGUGAGAGAGAGCCUGAGUUAGCCUGCUGGAUGGUCAAAGAUGAGUGGUGCAGCUAAGUGAAAGCCUGCUGACUUGUAGACAUAUGAGUAAGGCCAUGCUUGAUCACCUGGCUGCCAGCUGGCCUGCCAACUAAUUGCAGGUACUUGAAAGAGUCCAGCAGAGAUCAGCCACCCCAGGUCAAAUAAACACCCAGCCCCCUCCCUGAGAAUGAUGAACUAAAUAAAUGUCUUAAGUACUAAGUUUUGGGUGUUUGCUACAUAGCAAAAGCUAAUUGAUACUGUUCCCAAGGAGUGGAAAACUUCUGUAACAAAAAACAAAAAAUUCUGGCAUUGGUUUUGGGAUUGGGCAAUGGGUAGAGGCUAGAAAAAUGGCAAGGAAGCUGCCAUAGCAACCUAGAAAAAUGGCAACCCAUGCUAUAAAAUAGGGCAAUUGGUCAAUAAUUUUUGAAGUGGUUUGUUAUGCAGCAAUAGCCUACUGAUACACCAUGUGAAUUAUAGCAAGGAAUAGCUAAGGCAAAACAAAACAUUGGAUGAGUAGCAUAGUUCAUUCUAAAGAACCACUAAGGCUUGCUCAGGAAUAUGUACUAAUUCAGGUGGCAUCUGUUAACUAUCACUGAGCAUAAUAUUGGAGGAUAAAUCUGCUUUGCUUAUUGCCACCCCCGUAGCUUAGAAGCUACUCCUAAAACAGCAAGGAUGUCACUGUGGCAGUGGGCAAGGAUUAAUUCCCUCAUUUAUUUAUUCAUUUAUUAAUUCAACAAA